AAUGAUUAAAGCUAAGAGGGAAUCCGAUGUAAUUUCGGGGCUGUACCCGCAGCUGUAAUUCUCAUCAAAAAUUAUGACAAUCUAUAAAGGUCACUGUAAAAAAAUUAUGGGAAGACCGUCAUAAAAAGAGAUAAGCCAGAAAACCUGCCAUAACAUAAU
rnacentral:ncRNA from 1 species